rnacentral:rRNA from 1 species
AUUGAACGCUGGCGGCAGGCCUAACACAUGCAAGUCGAACGAGUGGCGGACGGGUGAGUAAUGUCUGGGAAACUGCCUGAUGGAGGGGGAAAACUACUGGAAACGGUAGCUAAUACCGCAUACCAUCGGAUGUGCCCAGAUGUGAUUAGCUAGAAGGGGGGGUAAAGGCUCACGUAGGCGACGAUCCCUAGCUGGUCUGAGAGGAUGACCACCCACACUGUGACUGAGACAGGUUCCAGGCUCCGACGGGAGUCAGGAGUGGGGAAUAUUGCACAAUGGGCGCAAGACUGAUGCAGCCAUGCGGCGGGUAUGAAGAAGGCCUUCGGGUUGUAAAGUACUUUCAGCGGGUAGGCGGUACCCGCAGAAGAAGCACCGGCUAACUCCGGGCCAGCAGUCGCGGUAAUUC